CCUACGGGAGGCUGCAGUGAGGAAUAUUGGUCAAUGGACGCAAGUCUGAACCAGCCAUGCCGCGUGCAGGAAGACGGCUCUAUGAGUUGUAAACUGCUUUUGUACGAGGGAAAACGCAGAUACGCGUAUCUGUCUGAAAGUAUCGUACGAAUCAGGAUCGGCUAACUCCGUGCCAGCAGCCGCGGUAAUACGGAGGAUUCAAGCGUUAUCCGGAGUUAUUGGGUUUAAAGGGUGCGUAGGCGGAAGGCCCAGUCAGAGUUAAAAUCGCGGGGCUAAACCUCACUGCGCCGGUGAAUCUGGCGUUCUUGAGUGGGCGAGAAGUAUGCGGAAUGCGUGGUGUAGCGGUGAAA
rnacentral:rRNA from 1 species